GAAGACAGCGCGCUAGCGUAUCUAGUCUGUGUUUAUCUAUGGUAGGCACGUCUGGUAGCAUCUCUGGCUGCUGUUGACCUUGUUUUUGGAGUAAAACACGGUGGAAGCUGAAUUAGUGAGGAUGACUCCUGCUCCUGUCAUCUCUAAGCUCCUCACACAUCUUUACCUGCACAUGAGGAAAAUCACUCCUGUAGAAUGCAGAUGUUCAGAGGGAGAUGAUGCCACAUCUGGUCCAGCUGAUGGAAGGUCUUGAAGUUCUCUGACUGGCCUCGACUGAAGAUGGUCGUCUCACUGGAUUUAAGGUUCAGAUGCUCAGUAACAAACUCCACCAAUGUGCCAACAGGGAAGCUUUAGGUUUAUUAAAUGUUGCUAUGAAGGUAUCGCUGUUUUUCUUUGUGGAUCCAAUGUGCUCCAACUGAAACUUGAAUUAGAACUUAGAAGUAAAUCAUUUCAUCUGAAAGGAUUUAGUUGCAUUAAUAACCUCAUAACAUUCUAAUUUUUAUUCCAGUCUUGGUUGGAAAUAGAAUUUCUGUAUUGAUUCAGGUAAAAACUGAACUUCACAGCAUGUUGAAGCAAAACAACCAGAUGAAAACUGUGAUGGUGUUGGAUUGUCAGACCGUAAUGUUGUAGCUCAAAGCAGCUUUUCUAGCUCAGUUCAUUCUGACAUUCAGCUAUGAAUCAACACAGCAGAUGGUGAUCCAUGCUGUGGAAGUCUCACAUCUCCUGAUUUAAUGGAGCUGCUUUGCACUUUUUACACUGUUUAUUCACCAACACUUUAUUUAAUAAAAGUCCCAUCUAGUUUUUAUGAGGAAUGUGAUGUUUUAAUUUCUCUGUGAAUAACUGCAGUCUAAUGCAACAGCUGGAGUUGUAACAUCUGUCCUGAUAUUGAUCAUGAAGUAUUGAUCAGAAUACUUAUGGUCAGCAGUCAUCCCUGAAGUUUUACAUUAAAAUCUUUACUUGUGUUGUGAACUUUGGUAAGAAGCAGAAACGUUAGCGUUGCCAUGGAUACAGGAGUGUUAAAUUCUGUCCAUGUUUCCAUUUUGGGAAAUUCAGUCCAGUUCCAGAAUGUGGAGGAAUUUAGUCUCACAAUCACAGACAACAAAUAUUAUCUGAAAGUCGGGUUAUUGUUGUUUAUCAGCACAAUACAAAAAGAUUAAUGUUAGAAAUAUUCCAGUUAAGACUGUAGAAUAUCAUGAUUUAUGUAAAUUUACCUCAAUAAUAUGAAUGUUCAGGUUAAGAUUGUACAGU